rnacentral:rRNA from 1 species
AGUGAACGCUGGCGGUAGGCCUAACACAUGCAAGUCGAACGGCAGCACAGUAAGAGCUUGCUCUUACGGGUGGCGAGUGGCGGACGGGUGAGGAAUACAUCGGAAUCUACUUUUUCGUGGGGGAUAACGUAGGGAAACUUACGCUAAUACCGCAUACGACCUGCGGGUGAAAGCAGGGGAUCUUCGGACCUUGCGCGAUUGAAUGAGCCGAUGUCGGAUUAGCUAGUUGGCGGGGUAAAGGCCCACCAAGGCGACGAUCCGUAGCUGGUCUGAGAGGAUGAUCAGCCACACUGGGACUGAGACACGGUCCAGACUCCUACGGGAGGCAGCAGUGGGGAAUAUUGGACAAUGGGCGCAAGCCUGAUCCAGCCAUACCGCGUGGGUGAAGAAGGCCUUCGGGUUGUAAAGCCCUUUUGUUGGGAAAGAAAAGCAGCAGGUUAAUACCCCGCUGUUCUGACGGUACCCAAAGAAUAAGCACCGGCUAACUUCGUG